rnacentral:rRNA from 1 species
AUGGUGGUCAACCUCUUCAGGAUGGCUCCCGCUAAGAGCACCAAUCAGAAUCAGAAUCAAGAUCCGCCACCACCUCCACCUCCUCCGGAGGCAUGGCAAGCUGUGAUGGCCGCAACCAAUGCAAACACACAGUUGAUCAUGCAAAUUCUUCAAGAGCGCAAUCAAGGCAACCAAGGGAACUAA